GGUGGCUCAGUGGUAGAGCUCUUGCCUUGCGUGCACGAGGCCCUGGGUUCGAUUCCUCAGCACCA
rnacentral:tRNA from 1 species